GCCGUAGGGCGCAAGCGUUGUCCGGAUUUAUUGGGCGUAAAGAGCUCGUAGGCGGCUUGUUGCGUCGGCUGUGAAAACCCGCGGCUUAACUGUGGGCUUGCAGCCGAUACGGGCGGGCUGGAGUUCGGUAGGGGAGACUGGAAUUCCUGGUGUAGCGGUGAAAUGCGCAGAUAUCAGGAGGAACACCGGUGGCGAAGGCGGCAUCCUGGACCGACACUGACGCUGAGGAGCGAAAGCCAGGGGAGCAAACGGG
rnacentral:rRNA from 1 species